rnacentral:Y_RNA from 1 species
GGCUAGUCUGAUAGUAGUGGGUUAUCAGAACUUAUUAACAUUAGUGUCACUAAAGUUGGUAUUCAACCCCCCACUGCUAAAUUUGACUGGCUUUAA